UACGUAGGGUCCGAGCGUUGUCCGGAAUUAUUGGGCGUAAAGAGCUCGUAGGCGGUCUGUCGCGUCGGUUGUGAAAACCUGGGGCUCAACUCCAGGCCUGCAAUCGAUACGGGCAGACUAGAGUUCGGUAGGGGAGACUGGAAUUCCUGGUGUAGCGGUGAAAUGCGCAGAUAUCAGGAGGAACGCCGGUGGCGAAGGCGGGUCUCUGGGCCGAAACUGACGCUGAGGAGCGAAAGCGUGGGGAGCGAACAGG
rnacentral:rRNA from 1 species